ensembl:antisense Tnfsf13os tumor necrosis factor (ligand) superfamily, member 13, opposite strand
AGAGUCUGCUAGAGGUGAGGAGUGUGCAGGUCAGCAUUUCCUUACCCUCAGUACAUGAGCUCUCUCCCUUUUCAGUUCUAGGGUUCUCUUGGCCCCAGCCCCACAGUUCCUGGUUGGUGCCCCUCCCACAGUGCCGUUAUUUAAAAUAGUGCUUACCCUUGGAGGUAAUGUUAACUGGAACAAGAUGCAGGACUGAGUGCUUCUCUAAGGAAAGAAGGAGGAAACAGCAGUGUUGACCUGCCCUGGAGUCCACCCUCACCUCAGCCCUGCUCCGCAUCCCUCGUGCUCCUGGGUCACCGCCAACCGCACCGAAACCCCAGGGCUCACUCACUCUUGUGCUUCUGGCUUAGGCUGCCUCAGACUUUCAAUGCAGUUGAAGAUGAACUUGAAUUCCUCAUGCUGCCUUCCAAGUGCUGAGAUUAUGGCAUGUCCAACCUGCAGCCAUCAGAGGGCCCCAUGCAUCUCAGGGUGCUAUGGACAUGGCCCAAUGUAUCUGCAGAGGACAUCAUGUCACAGUAUCAGAAGAUCAGGUACCCCACAUGUAUAGAGCGCUUUUCCACCCCCACCUCACUGAAACUCUUUAACAACCUUCCGCCUCAUCAGACUCUUGGGAAAGCCUGGCCUUGCAUGGGUCCUGAGCCUGCCUCUACCACCCAAUUAAGCUUUGAGGCCUACUAAGGCCUAAAUGCUACUACCAGGGGCAAGGAGUCCCUGACUCCACUGUAAAAUCGUCUUCCUGUGUGGUGCCAUGUAUCUUGGGCUACCUUACCAUCAUUCUUGUCAUCUACCACUGUAAUUACACAUUUACAGACUGCC